AGAAAGAGCAGAAAGAAUGGAGUACCCAUGGCAGUUUGGGAGAAAAAAGGAAGCCAGCUCAAUUCCCACUCAGACACUCAGUGCCUGGUAGAGAGACAGACCUGUGGUUCAUGAAGUGAUUCCCAUGUAGCAGGCACUGGAAACACAGCAGUGAGAAAGGCGGAUGUGGCCAAGAACAUGCGAAGCUGGCAUGCUGACAUUCUAAGUGGAGAAGCAGACAAGAGAUAGGAAACAGGUACGGACACACUUCGAAGACACUGCGUGUUUGGUUCCAGACCAUUGCAGUAAAGCAAGUAUCGCAAUAAACUUCUGUGAACAUUCCAGUAGAAGUAUUUCUUUGGAUAAAUAUGUAGGAGUGUGAUUGUUGGAUCAUUUGGGUGGGGAUGGAGGAAUGGCAGCCUGAAUAUGAUACAUCCCUGCAACUUGGACACUGGCCUACCUGAAUCACGGACCAUAUGCUGCUCUCCCAGAGAUGACUCAAGUGGGCUCUAUGCAAAAUCAGCCCAACAAGCUUGUACUGAGUAUUAUGCAGGAUCUAUGUGAGAUAAAGCAAUGAUGUAGGACUGCCAAUCACCUGCCUUGCACAGCAGCUCAGAGAUGUUUGAAUUGUUAAUAAAAAAACUCUACCCUCAUCAUUCCA